rnacentral:tRNA from 1 species
AGUACUAUAGUUUAAUAAAAAAAUUUUAAAUUGCAAAUUUAAAGAUAGAGGUAUUCUUGGUUCUU